AUUGAACGUUGGCGGCAGGCCUAAAACAUGCAAGUCGAACGGUAACAGCGGGAGCUUGCUCCCGGCUGACGAGUGGCGGACGGGUGAGUAACACGUAGGAAUCUACCUAGUAGUGGGGGACGAACCCGGGAAACCCGGGCGUAUACCGCAUACGCUCUACGGAGGAAAGCGGGGGAGUCUUCGGACCUCGCGCUAUUGGAGGAGCCUGCGUCGGAUUAGCUAGUUGGUGGGGUAAAGGCCUACCAAGGCGACGAUCCGAGCUGGUCUGAGAGGACGAUCAGCCACACUGGAACUGAGACACGGUCCAGACUCCUACGGGAGGCAGCAGUUAGGAAUCUUGGGCAAUGGGCGCAAGCCUGACCCAGCCAUGCCGCGUGUGUG
rnacentral:rRNA from 1 species